rnacentral:rRNA from 1 species
UACGUAGGGGGCGAGCGUUGUCCGGAAUCAUUGGGCGUAAAGCGCGUGUAGGCGGCCCGGUAAGUCCGCUGUGAAAGUCCAGGGCUCAACCCUGGGAUGCCGGUGGAUACUGUCGGGCUCGAGUCCGGAAGAGGCGAGUGGAAUUCCUGGUGUAGCGGUGAAAUGCGCAGAUAUCAGGAGGAACACCAAUGGCGAAGGCAGCUCGCUGGGACGUGACUGACGCUGAGACGCGAAAGCUAGGGGAGCAAACGGG